rnacentral:sRNA from 1 species
CCCACGCUCCACCGGGAGGCCAUUAACGAGGCGCUCG